GGUUCCUUCAUGGGCACCCCUCAUUUUCAACAUCAGAUCCAGGUUUCUUAGCACAAGAGCCAUUCUGAGCUGCCCGAUGCUAUACUUUCCAGGUCUUCUAACUGCCAGGGAUCUGGCCAGGUCUGUGUUGUGUUUUCCCACGGUGCACACUGGUCCUGCCUGACAGCGAGCUGCUUCACUUAUGCGUGUGACCUGCCUGGACUCUGAAGGCAUCUGACUUUGUGAUUCCCUAGGCUUAUCCCAGUCAAGGAACAAUACUCAGCUAACGUCAUCUUCUCCACAAAACUUUUCUCCUUUGAGACACAAGAAGCCUACAGGACCUUGGGGUAUGGUGCUGUGUAGUGUGAGCCUGACAGGCUCCUUUUCGAGGAAUCAAGCAGUGACUGCUUUUUUGUGACGGUGUUAUUUUGAGUUUAAUGACAUCAAAGUUCACCUAUGUCGGACAGCGCAUGUGUCAGAAGUUUCUUCAUUGUUGAAGCUAAAUAGUAUUCCUUUAUAAAUGUCAUCACUUAUCUGUCAGUGGAUAUUGUAAUGAUGGUUCUAUGAACAAUGGUAU